rnacentral:piRNA from 1 species
UCAGACUUAACUACUACUGGGUGCUU